CGGACGGGUGAGUAAUGUCUGGGAAACUGCCUGAUGGAGGGGGGUAACUACUGGAAACGGUAGCUAAUACCGCAUAACGUCGCAAGACCAAAGAGGGGGACCUUCGGGCCUCUUGCCAUCGGAUGUGCCCAGAUGGGAUUAGCUAGUAGGUGGGGUAACGGCUCACCUAGGCGACGAUCCCUAGCUGGUCUGAGAGGAUGACCAGCACACUGGAACUGAGACACGGUCCAG
rnacentral:rRNA from 1 species